rnacentral:snRNA from 1 species
UCGCUCACUUUGGCAGAUGCGCCAAGACGGAAACAGCACACGGAAGAGUAACGUGGUCCCUGUGCAAGGGUGACACGCAGAUCCGUGGGGCGUUCUGUAUUUUA